UAGUUACGCGCAUGCGGGCAUUAACAGAUUUCGCAAAACACGAGUUUCAUUGAUGAAAAUAUUAACAAUUAUUUGCAAAUAUAUGCUGUAUAACUUCUUUAAAUCUCGAAUAUGGAUGUUUAUAUGAACUUUGAAGGCUGAAGUAUUGUUUAGAAUCAUCGAUUCGUCAAGUUCACUCCAAAGAAUGGACGAGCACGAGGGUUUGCGUGCCAUCAAUAAACCACUUGAAAAGCACUUAAAAACCUCCUGUAUUAAAAGCAAUUGUCAUAGGUGAUCUAAACCCAGUGAUGGACAACUAGAGAGGGGAUUCUAAUAAAUCGGACUUGAUCCAUAGCCAGUGAUGGACAACUAGAGAGGAGAAAGAGUCAG